rnacentral:tRNA from 1 species
CAAAUUAAAGCUUUUAUCAAGCAUUUUAGUUACAUUAAAAAGAAUAUUAUUAUUAAUAUAAUUUGA